UUAUCUGAACCUUCGGGGRACGAUAACGGCGUCGAGCGGCGGACGGGUGAGUAAUGCCUAGGAAAUUGCCCUGAUGUGGGGGAUAACCAUUGGAAACGAUGGCUAAUACCGCAUAAUGCCUACGGGCCAAAGAGGGGGACCUUCGGGCCUCUCGCGUCAGGAUAUGCCUAGGUGGGAUUAGCUAGUUGGUGAGGUAAUGGCUCACCAAGGCGACGAUCCCUAGCUGGUCUGAGAGGAUGAUCAGCCACACUGGAACUGAGACACGGUCCAGACUCCUACGGGAGGCAGCAGUGGGGAAUAUUGCACAAUGGGCGCAAGCCUGAUGCAGCCAUGCCGCGUGUGUGAAGAAGGCCUUCGGGUUGUAAAGCACUUUCAGUCGUGAGGAAGGUAGUGUAGUUAAUAGCUGCAUUACUUGACGUUAGCGACAGAAGAAGCACCGGCUAACUCCGUGCCAGCAGCCGCGGUAAUACGGAGGGUGCGAGCGUUAAUCGGAAUUACUGGGCGUAAAGCGCAUGCAGGUGGUUUGUUAAGUCAGAUGUGAAAGCCCGGGGCUCAACCUCGGAAUAGCAUUUGAAACUGGCAGACUAGAGUACUGUAGAGGGGGGUAGAAUUUCAGGUGUAGCGGUGAAAUGCGUAGAGAU
rnacentral:rRNA from 1 species